CAAUAGCGUAUAUUAAAGUUGUUGCAGUUAGAACGCUCGUAGUCGGAUUUCGGGGCGGGUCGACCGGUCUGCCGAUGGGUAUGCACUGGCCGACGCGUCCUUCCUUCCGGAGACCGUCUCACUCUUAACUGAGCGGAGGCGGGAGACGGAAUUUUUACUUUGAAAAAAUCAGAGUGUUUCAAGCAGGCAGCUCGCUCUUGCAUGGAUUAGCAUGGGAUAAUGAAAUAGGACUUUGGUGCUAUUUUGUUGGUUUCGAACACCGAAGUAAUGAUGAGAAGGGACAGUCAGGGGCACUCGUAUUCCGCCGAGAGAGGUGAAAUUCUCAGACCAGCGGAAGACGAACCACUGCGAAAGCAUUUGCCAGGGAUGUUUUCACUGA
rnacentral:rRNA from 1 species